UUACCAUUCCUGCCUUCAUUGGAACAGAACAGCCUCAGGGCCUCUGCUGUCCUAUCCUAGAGCAGCUGUCCCACCCCAGAUCUUCUUAUACUCCUAAAUGGAAUCUUUCUCUUACUGAUUGCUGUCCACCAUCCUUCAAAUUCUGGAGCUCUGUGAAGGUGGGAGCCUGAGUCUUCCUUUCCCAGCCUGCCUAUAGGUCUCUAUCCGUACAUUGCUGUGACUGUACACUGGAGUUUCUAGGCUCGUGUGUUCCUGUGUGUGGACUGUGUGCAUCAUCAUGUGCCUGGGUCCCUGCUGUAGGCUGCCAGCCUGGUCUUCACCCACACUGAAUAAAUAUGUUUUAUUUGUCCAUG